CUUGGCGGCCAUAGCGCGGUGGUCCUGACCUGAUCCUAUGCCGAACUCCAGAAGUGAAACGCCGUAGCGCCGAUGGUAGUGUGGGGUCUCCCCAUGAGAGUAGGGAACUGCCAAGC
rnacentral:rRNA from 1 species